GAAAUAGUCAGUAUUUUAAUUAGAUUCACUGAAACCCUAGCACUUUUGUUGCAAUACCUUAACCCUAUCCAUACCUUUGUCGCAAUACCUUAGGCCGAAUAUGUAUGUACCAAACAUUAACCCUGGUCUUUUUGCAUUCUAGUGACGAACAAUGAGAGUGAAGAUUUGUUGCAGUUGAGUGCCAGUUAAAUGACUCGGAGGAUGAUGUGGACGAUGGUGGUUUUCAUUAUCAGAGAAAUGCACCGAAAAUAGUUGUGGUUGGUUUAAAUGCAGACCUUAAAUUUCAAACAGCUGGUCAAGAUAAUGGCUCGGAAUUGGAUGAUCCAUAUUAUGCAUAGUCUGAAGAGAAGUUGCAUACUGAUCAUUCUUCAGGUGAAGAAAAUAAUUAUCGUUUCCCAUUUACGAUGAUAAGAUUGAGAAGUUUAAUACACAAUUAGAGGUCAAAAAAGAGUUCAAAAACAUAGAAGAAUUUAAGAAAGCAGUUGGACAUCAUAGAGUAGUCACAAGGCGUAAUUUGAAGUUUAAGGCAAAUGAUGAUAAGAGAGCACAAGGAGUGUGCCAAAGAAAAAGAAUUGUAAGUGGAAGAUUUGGGCUUCAUGGAAUAAGAAGAAGGGUUGCGUGCAAAUAAAGACAUUCAUUUCGCAGCACACAUGUAUAGAGAUAGAACAAAUAGAUAUUGUACAGCUAAGUAUAUUGCUGAGAUGUACUUGGAGACUUUCAAGGUUGACCCUGAUUGGAAGUCAAAACUCAUUAUUAAGGCUGUAAGAGAUGACUGGAAAUUACUAAUCAAUAAAGUUACUGCAUGGCGGGCUAGAAGGAUGCGCAAAUAUUGAUUGAGGGCUCUAAUGAACACCAAUUUGGCCUACUUUGGCUUUUGGUCAUGAGAAUUUGAGAAGCAAUCCAAGAUCCACAUGUAUAGUUACCACACAUGAGUCGAAGUUUCAAGGGAUUUAUAUAUGUUUAGAAGCUUGUAAGAGAGGUUUUAUGAGUGGUUGUAGGCAACUUCUAGGUUUAGAUGGGCGUUUUUUGAAAGGAAAUUUUGGCGGAUAGAUGCUUGUUGUAGUGACACUAGAUGCCAAUGAUUGUAUUUACCUAGUAGCGUACGCAAUAAUGGAGACUGCAAAUGCUAGAAGUUGGAGAUGGUUCGUUAGUCAUUUGGGUGAAGAUUUAAAGAUUGUAAAUAGCAUUGAAUGGACUUUCAUAACUGAUAGGCGAAGGGACUACAAAAGGUUAUUAAGGACUUGAACCCUAAUGCUAAACAUAGGUUUUGCAUGAAGAACAUGUAUACAAAUUUUUUUAGGGUUGAUUUUAAGAAUUUGGCACUUAAAGGCUACUUAUGGAAAGCUGCAAAGUCAACUACUGUGCUUGAUUGGAAGUUUUGGAUGGAUGAACUUGUGAAGGAGAUUGCGGAUACAUAUGAGUGGUUAAUGAAAAAGGAUCCAUGUGAAUGGAGUAAGUCUCAUUUCUUAACUAAGGUAAAGAAUGAUAUAAUUUUUGACAAUUUAUGUGAAGUUUUCAACAAUGUAGUGCUAGAGGAUAGGGAGAAAUCAAUCUUGACUUUGUUAAUUGACAUGGAUAUUAGCUGCAUGAAGAGGAUACAAUCAAGAAAGGAUAAGAUGAGAAGAGCCAGAAGACCUUUGUGUCCUAAGAUCCAACAAAAAUUAGUUAAAUCUAUGGAAAUAGCUGAGGAAUGUGAAGUAGAGUAGUUUGGGGCCCAUAGAUCUAUGUGAAAAUAUCCUACUGGGGAAUAUGUGGUUGAUUCGUCAAACAAGAUGUACAUUUAGGAGAUGAGAUUUGACUGGAAUUCCAUGUGGGCAUGGGGUUGCUGUUAUACUUAGAUAAAGAAGAUAAUCCUACAAAAUAUGUGCAUGGGUGCCAUACCAUGCAAACCUAUUUAUAGUGCUAUGAAAAUAUUUUUAAUCCAAUUAACGAUAAGCAUUGUGGCCAGAAGUGAAUAAUCUCCCUUUACAACCGCUAGGCCGGUUGUGGCGAAAAGGGGGAAGGAAGCAGAAAAAGCAAAGAAGGCAGCAAGAGGAUGAUGUAGUCACUCAUUCUGGUUCCACAUCAAGAAUGAUGAAAAAAGCCAUAGUAAAGAUGACUUUAGUGUAUGUGGUUUAACUGGCCACAACAAGCGUUACCAUGAUAAGGCAGAUACAUCAAAUGAGGAUUGGAAUGGAAAUGAUAUCAAUCAUAUAAAUCAAGAGAGACCUAGCCACGUUGAAAGUCAAAGUUCAAGGGCCAAGUUGGUACCUCGAAGAGCAAACAAGAAUUUAACAAAUGAAGUGCAACAAAUUCCUCCAACAAUUAGAUACAUUUUCAUGCCCACACCUGGUCUUGGGAUUACAAGUGAUGCACAAUCUAACAACAAUGGUCAUUUUCCUACUGCGGUAAGGCAAACGGAAAAUAUUCCACUAGCCAACAUGGUUGACAAUUUUUUGGUCUUACAAGCCCAAGAAAAUUCAAAAAAGAGGGUUGAUAGGGUAAAGCACACAAAAGUGGUCAGAGGAUGAAUUCCUUUUGCACAUCCAAGGACAAGGAAGAGUAGAGCAGCUCACUAGAAUUUAUUUUUGGUUGGCAACCUAUGUCCUUUAUGGCUGUACUUUAGGGUCGUCAUGGAGGUUUUUGACA